rnacentral:rRNA from 1 species
UACGUAGGGCGCAAGCGUUGUCCGGAAUUAUUGGGCGUAAAGAGCUCGUAGGCGGCUUGUCGCGUCGGAUGUGAAAGCCCGGGGCUUAACUCCGGGUCUGCAUUCGAUACGGGCAGGCUAGAGUUCGGUAGGGGAGAUCGGAAUUCCUGGUGCAGCGGUGAAAUGCGUAGAUAUCGAGAGGAACACCUGCGGCGAAGGCGGGUUGCUGGGCUGACCCUGACGCUGAUGUGCGAAAGCUAGGGGAGCGAACGGG